GGGGGGACGCAGUAGGAUAGGCGAAGCGUACGAUUGGAUUGUACGUCCAAGCAGUGAGAUUGAGUGUUAGGCAAAUCCGGCACUCUUAAGAUUGAGCUGUGAUGGGGAGAGGAAAUUGUUUCCUCGAGUCGUUGAUUUCACACUGCCAAGAAAAGCCUCUAGCUAGAAUUGUGGUGCCCGUACCGCAAACCGACACAGGUAGUCAAGAUGAGAAUUCUAAGGUGAGCGAGCGAACUCUCGUUAAGGAACUCGGCAAAAUGACCCCGUAACUUCGGGAGAAGGGGUGCUCUUUAGGGUUAACGCCCAGGAGAGCCGCAGUGAAUAGGCCCAAGCGACUGUUUAUCAAAAACACAGGUCUCUGCUAAACCGUAAGGUGAUGUAUAGGGGCUGACGCCUGCCCGGUGCUGGAAGGUUAAGAGGAGUGGUUAGCUUCUGCGAAGCUACGAAUCGAAGCCCCAGUAAACGGCGGCCGUAACUAUAACGGUCCUAAGGUAGCGAAAUUCCUUGUCGGGUAAGUUCCGACCCGCACGAAAGGCGUAACGAUUUGGGCACUGUCUCAACGAGAGACUCGGUGAAAUCAUAGUACCUGUGAAGAUGCAGGUUACCCGCGACAGGACGGAAAGACCCCGUGGAGCUUUACUGUAGUCUGAUAUUGAAAUUCGGCACAGCUUGUACAGGAUAGGUAGGAGCCUGAGAUACGUGAGCGCUAGCUUACGUGGAGGCGUUGGUGGGAUACUACCCUCGCUGUGUUGGAUUUCUAACCCGCACCAUUUAUCAUGGUGGGAGACAGUGUCAGAUGGGCAGUUUGACUGGGGCGGUCGCCUCCUAAAGAGUAACGGAGGCGCUCAAAGGUUUCCUCAGAAUGGUUGGAAAUCAUUCAUAGAGUGUAAAGGCAUAAGGAAGCUUGACUGCGAGACUUACAAGUCGAGCAGGGUCGAAAGACGGACUUAGUGAUCCGGUGGUUCCGCAUGGAAGGGCCAUCGCUCAACGGAUAAAAGCUACCCCGGGGAUAACAGGCUUAUCUCCCCCAAGAGUUCACAUCGACGGGGAGGUUUGGCACCUCGAUGUCGGCUCAUCGCAUCCUGGGGCUGUAGUCGGUCCCAAGGGUUGGGCUGUUCGCCCAUUAAAGCGGUACGCGAGCUGGGUUCAGAACGUCGUGAGACAGUUCGGUCCCUAUCCGUCGUGGGCGUAGGAAAUUUGAGAGGAGCUGUCCUUAGUACGAGAGGACCGGGAUGGACAUACCUCUGGUGUACCAGUUGUCGUGCCAACGGCAUCGCUGGGUAGCUAUGUAUGGACGGGAUAAGUGCUGAAAGCAUCUAAGCAUGAAGCCCCCCUCAAGAUGAGAUUUCCCAACUUCGGUUAUAAGAUCCCUCAAAGAUGAUGAGGUUAAUAGGUUCGAGGUG
rnacentral:rRNA from 2 species